UCAGCCUUGCUUUGCACUCGCGCACUGUUU
rnacentral:sRNA from 1 species